UAUGCAUCAAGGGGGGAAAACCUCUAGAUCUAAGAAUAUUACAAUUAGUAAUGUAAGAAUUACUUAGUCUUCAAUUGCACAGCAUAUUUGUCUUAAAUGAGUUGUUUGGCCUUCUCCUACAUGUUAUUUCAGGAAGGAACCAUGAGAAAGUUCUGUUUAGUGGUCUGUGGUCACCCAAUUACAAAGAUAGUUGACGAAUUUAUUUCCUCUAGACUUCUGUUACAUCCAAGGAUGUGUCAGAUUUCCUGCCAGCUAGUGGACUUGAGUUUUUGCAGGAAAACUUUCCUUAAAAAUACCCCAUUUAGGCUGCAGUCUCAAGACAGCAUUCUAUCUUCUGUCUUCCUCCCUUCCUUCCCUUUCAGCGAUCCGUCUUGUCAGUUGCAAGAACAGUAGAGCACUUCUAGCUCAGUUUGAGAGUGUCAUUAAAGCAGGAAGUGAGGGACCGCAUGGGCAGCAGGCACUGCACACAAGGGUCAAUUUGAUUUAGUAGAAAAGGAGAGUUUGACAGUACAAAACAGGCCUUGUUGCUUAAGAGAGUGCCAUCAGUCCAUCCACACAGUGUCAGACAUUGUGCUGCUGCUCAGCCCUCAGAGAACAGCCAGAUUACAGCACUAGACUCUCUUAAGUCUCUUACAUCUGGAACUCCCAAACAAAGGCUUUCAGAAAUCACUCCAUCCCAGAAACCAGAGCGAGACAUUUUUCAUCUGACCCUUUUUCGGGAAAUGUGAGAAAAGAUGAGCUAAGUGACAUGCUAGUUCUUUCUUUCCAUGUCUUUGGCGCUGACCCUGUGAUAUGGGUCAUUUAAUGCAUGAAGGAGUGAGAAGUUCCAUGUGUGAGAAGUUUGGCUGCCUCUCCUGAGUCACUUGGACUGAUCUUAGAUGCGCGCAGGACUACAUUUUCUUAAUUAAGUGGACUUCUUAUCAUAUCUCUGGGAAAGGCUUGAUUGGAGUAGUAUGCAGCAGCCAGUAGUCUCCUGCAGUAUGCCAGCAGAGGAAAUCGAGAGUGUGUCUCUUCCUGUGGGUUGGAAAAGCUACAUAUCACCUGAGGGACGGAAAUACUAUGUCAACACAAGCACUAAAGAGACAACGUGGGAACGGCCAAGCACAUCCACCACCAGCCCAAAGGCUUCUGGGUCUCACCAACACUCAGAAGAGAUAUAUAUAGGAAGGGGACAUUGUGGACAGAGGUUAAAAGGGAUAUGGUGGACAGAGAUGUGGAAGAAGGGUGUAGAAAGAAUGCAGUGUGGACAGAGACACAGGAUGAAGACAUGGUGGACAGAAACAUAGGGAGAGGACAUUGGACACAGGUGAAGGAAGAGAACAUGGCGAACACAGCAAAUUAAUACACCGUGAUAGCACAGGUGAAGGGAGCAGAAAUGAUGGACAAAUGUAUAGAAAGAGAGAUGGAGGACAUUGAUGUAGAUGGAGGAUGAGAAAGAGUACAGUGUGGACAGAGACGAAGGAAGAUGACACGGUACACCAAAAUUUUUGUGGAGGACAGAAUGGACAGAUGUAUUGGAAAACAGGUGCACAGUAGGAAUGAUUGGACACAGGCGCACAGCAGGAAUACAAUGCAGACACAGGUGAAGGAAGAGGACAUAAUGGACUAAGGUACAGAAAGCUAGGGGACAUGGUGAAGAGUGAUGUAGAAGGAAGAUGUUAUGAAAGAUGUACAAAGAGUAGAAUGUGGACAAAGAUAUUUGGACAAAAAUGGUGUGAGGGGACAGAGUAGACAGAUGUGUAGGAAGAAGAAAUGUGGACACAAGCAAAAAGAUGAGGACAUUAUGGACAAAUGUACAGAAAGAGAGAGAAAAUGUGGACGAUGAUCUAGAAGGAGUAUGUGAUAGAGAUGUAAAGAGAGUAAGUGGACAGAGAAAUGUUGGGAGAGAACAGACAUAUAAGAAGAGGAAAUGUGGACACAUAUGAAGAGAGAGGACAUUAUGGACAAAGAUAUAGAAAAAGAGAAUGCAUGUUGGACAGAAGCACAAGACAUAGUGGCUUAAAUAGAAGACAAGUUGCAAGAUAAUAGGCUAAGAAUCAGAGGUGUGAGAGCAGCAGCAGGAAAAAGAAUUUCCCAGUUUUUCAGGAGACUGUUGUCUGUAUAUCAAAGGCUGGAUGUCAGUGCUUAAACCAGGGAAGGCCGGCUCAUUAAUGCUCUGACUGUGUGUGUUUCUUCAGCCCUGAGGGAAGGAGAGGGACAGCUCAAAGAAGAACCGCAUUGUACCACAGCCUUCGUCAUAAUAAUCACUCACCACUGGACACAGUCAGUGGACACGUACACACAGGCUGUUCAGCCUUAGUCCAAGCUGAUUGUUGGCCAUCUGUGAGACGUGGGUCUAGAUUCAAUGAAAUGAUUACUACUUGGACAAAAUGCAUUAUCUUGCACAUUAGCUUCAGUGCGGUGUCAAUAAGAG
ensembl:lncRNA